UACAUACAAUUAUAUAUUUCCAAUAUAAAUUAGGGAAAUUUUAUAUAAAAAAUAUUUUGAAAAGUCAAAUUAAAGAGAGAGAGAAAUAAAGCUCAUGAAUCUCUCUUGUUCAGAACAGAAAAAAGAAAGAUUGGUUGACAAAGAAACCAAAUCGUUGAACGCUAUUUAAGUGAACGAGCUCCCCAAAAGAAGCCAGAAGGGCGGCUGUCUAUAGUAUAUAUCGGAGGAGUCUUCUGAUCGCAUAUAAGAAAGAUUGAGGAGUUGCAAAAUGUAAAUGAAAUCCUUACACUGAUAAAAUCUUGGCCGUUGUUAAAUAGUCCUAUUUUUGUACAUAAUGGACCCCAAAAACAGAGCUCUCUGCCUAUAAAUGGUGAGAUUUCAAAUUAUGCUUUUAAAGAGAAAAGUUUUAGGGCAGCCAAGAAAAGCUUUGUACGAUGAGUAUCAUGAGAUCUUCUCAAGUCAUCUUCCAGAUUUGAAUAGUUUCUUCUUCUUCUCCUCUUGCCUUAGCUUAACAACUUGAGGAGAAGAUUUGGUUCUGUUUUCUUUUCCUCUUCUGUUCAGUUUUGUUUUGUGUGUUAAUCUUUGUCUUUCUUAUAGAUUUUGUCGGCACCGGAAGAAUAGAAUAUAAACUAACAAUCGCACAAAACAAGAACCUACAAUCCUAACAAAUAAAAUCAUCCAAAACCAAAACUUGAUUGAUAAAACCAAAAUCCACAU
rnacentral:sRNA from 1 species